GGUGGUGGUGGCGGCUGCGGCGGCGGUGGGGGAAGAUGGUGAGGUUGGCGGAGAUGAAGAAUAGAUGCUGGUACUUUGUUCUGACAUUGUUGAAGGAUACUGCAGUAGGAGAUGAUUCUUGAAAAGAAGACGCUGGUAUUAGCAAUUUAGCAGAGAGAAAGGAAGAGGACAACGAGGAAGAUGAGAAUUAUUAAUGGGUAUUUGUAGGAAAGGGCAAAGGAAGGAUACGCUCCUUUAUAGUGACUUUCGACCUACCAUGAAUAUUUCCAUUGACGAAGAC
rnacentral:misc_RNA from 1 species